CAGAGCGGUGGUCAGCCGCAGCUCCGGCGUGACGUCAGCGUCUGCGCCGCCUCGGGAGAAAAGCCCGGCGAGCAGCGCCGGCCGGAAGGGGCGGGGCGCUUGGCUCGGUUUCCUGGCGACGCAGCCCUGCGGCCCGCCGCUUUCCCCUCCGUCCUCCUCCUCUCCUUCCUGACGCGUGUGCGCGGCCGGCAUGCCUGGGCUACUCUCAGCAGCUAAGCUGGUUCCCGCUGUAGCGAGCGCCCGCAGCCUCUCAGGUGCAUCUGCCAUUGGAUCAGAUUUCGGUUUUUUGGGCCGAUGUGUGAACAGAUGCAUAUUCUGUUCUCAGAGAAGGUACUCCCUCCAGCCCAUCCCAGACAGGAAGGUUCCAAAUCGAUACUUGGGCCAGCCCAGCCCCUUCACACACCCACACCUCCUCAGACCAGGGGAGGUGACUCCAGGACUAUCCCAGGUGGAAUAUGCGCUUCGCAGACACAAAUUAAUGUCUCUGAUCCACAAGGAAUCACAAGGGCAGAGUGGGACAGACCAGACAGUGGUUCUGCUGUCCAACCCUACAUACUAUAUGAGCAAUGAUAUCCCCUAUACUUUCCACCAAGACAACAACUUCUUGUACCUGUGUGGAUUCCAAGAGCCCGAUAGCAUUCUGGUCCUUCAGAGCCUCCCUGGCAAGCAGUUACCAGCACACAAGGCCAUGCUUUUCGUGCCUCGGAGAGACCCCAGCCGAGAACUUUGGGAUGGCCCUCGAUCGGGCACUGAUGGAGCAGUAGCCCUAACUGGUGUGGAUGAAGCCUAUACGCUGGAAGAAUUUCAACAUCUGGUUUCGAAACUGAAAGCCGAGACAAAUACACUUUGGUAUGACUGGAUGAGGCCCGCUCACGCACAGCUUCACGCGGACUAUAUGCAGCAUCUGACUGAGGUCAAAACCAAGAGCAAGAACAAGGUUCGGGCUGUCCAUCAGCUGGUACAGCGCCUACGGCUUAUCAAAUCUCCUGCUGAAAUUGAACGAAUGCGGAUUGCUGGAAAGCUGACGUCACAGGCUUUCAUAGAGACCAUGUUUGCCAGCAAAGCGCCUGUGGAUGAGAGCUUUCUUUAUGCUAAGUUUGAAUUUGAAUGCCGAGCCCGGGGAGCAGACAUCUUAGCCUACCCACCUGUGGUUGCUGGAGGUAAUCGGUCAAACACUUUGCACUAUGUGAAGAAUAAUCAGCUCAUCAAGGAUGGGGAGAUGGUGCUGCUGGAUGGAGGCUGUGAAUCUUCUUGCUAUGUGAGUGACAUCACCCGUACCUGGCCUGUCAACGGCAGGUUUACGGCACCUCAAGCAGAACUCUAUGAAGCUGUUCUAGAGAUCCAGAGAGAUUGUCUGACCCUCUGCUCCCCCGGAACAAGCUUGGAAAACAUCUACAGCAUGAUGCUGACCCUGAUAGGGCAGAAGCUUAAAGAGUUGGGGUUCCUGAAGAACAUUAAGGAAAAUAGUGCCUUCAGGGCUGCUCGAAAAUACUGCCCUCACCACGUUGGCCAUUACCUGGGGAUGGAUGUCCAUGACACUCCAGACAUUCCCCGAUCCCUCCCUCUGCAGCCCGGCAUGGUGAUCACAGUGGAGCCAGGCAUUUAUAUUCCAGAGGAUGACAGAGAUGCUCCAGAGAAGUUUCGUGGUCUUGGUGUACGGAUUGAGGAUGAUGUAGUGGUGACGGAGGACUCACCUCUCAUCCUUUCUGCAGAUUGUCCCAAAGAGAUCAAUGACAUCGAGCAGAUCUGCAGCAGGGCCUCUUGACCAUCAUUGCAGCCCACAUGCACCUCAGGUUCAAGGGUGUGCACUGGCAUGUGCACCUGAGCUUCCUGAGUGCUGUCUGUGUGGCAGAAUUCCAUUGUCACAAAGCACGUGGGUUCUCCUGGCUGCUCUGCUGACCUCUGCCUCUGUGUCACGGCAGAGCAUGGGGUGAGCAUCACUGUUGUUCGGAUCAGGGGUCCCCAUGAACUCAAGGCCUCUUGGGGUGUGCUCAUGAGGAUCUAAGAGAACUGUGGUCUUUGUGAGCAUUUCUUAAUGCUUUGUAUGACUUUUGUGCAAUUAUAUAAAUUCGAUUUGGAUAAAACGCUGUUACUUUUAAGGCCCUUUCCGUUGAAAAUAGUUAUCUCAUUCCCCAACAAGGGAAAAGUAUUUGUUACUGCCAUUUAAAAAAUAAAUCAUAAAACAAUAAAAAUGUUUGGCACAUGUGUGUUAUUUUCAAAUCUAGAGUUUACUGCUUUAACUUUGAGAAUAUUUUGAUUUACAAAAUAUUUUACUUUACAGAGUGUUCAUUAACUGCUGUUACAAAAUCAUGAUAGCUCCCGGCCAGCAUGGCUCAGUGGUUGAGCUUCAGUCUAUGAACCAGGAGGUCACGGUUUGAUUCCUGCACAUGCCUGGGUUGCGGGCUCCAUCCCCAGAGUGGGGCGUGCAGGAGACAGCCGAUCAAUGAUUCUCUCUCAUCCUUGAUCUUUGUCUCUCUUCCUCCCUCUCCCUAUCUCUCUGAAAUCAAUAAAAAUAUAUUUUUUAAAA